rnacentral:rRNA from 1 species
GCAAGUCGAACGGCAGCAUGGAGAGCUUGCUCUCUGAUGGCGAGUGGCGAACGGGUGAGUAAUAUAUCGGAACGUGCCCAGUAAUGGGGAAUAACUAAUUGAAAGAUUAGCUAAUACCACAUACGACCUACGGGUGAAAGCAGGGGAUCUUCGGACCUUGCGUUAUUGGAGCGGCCGAUAUCUGAUUAGCUAGAUGGUGGGGUAAUAGCCUACCAUGGCGACGAUCAGUAGCUGGUCUGAGAGGACGACC